AACGAACGCUGGCGGCAUGCCUAACACAUGCAAGUCGAACGAGACCUUCGGGUCUAGUGGCUCACGGGUGCGUAACGCGUGAGAACCUGCCCUUAGGUUCGGAAUAACUCCCCGCAAGGGGUGCUAAUACCGGAUAAUGUCUUCGGACCAAAGAUUUAUCGCCUUUGGAUGGGCCCGCGUUGGAUUAGCUAGUUGGUAGGGUAAAAGCCUACCAAGGCGACGAUCCAUAGCUGGUCUGAGAGGAUGAUCAGCCACACUGGGACUGAGACACGGCCCAGACUCCUACGGGAGGCAGCAGUGGGGAAUAUUGGACAAUGGGCGAAAGGCUGAUCCAGCAAUGCCGCGUGAGUGAUGAAGGCCUUAGGGUUGUAAAGCUCUUUUACCCGGGAUGAUAAUGACAGUACCGGGAGAAUAAGCCCCGGCUAGCUCCGUG
rnacentral:rRNA from 1 species